GACGAACUGUCCUAACGUUGUUCGGAAUCACUGGGCUUAAAGGGCGCGUAGGCGGUCCAACAAGUCGGGGGUGAAAUCCUGCAGCUCAACUGCAGAAGUGCCUUCGAUACUGUUGGUCUUGAGGGAAAUAGGGGUGUGCGGAACUUCCAGUGGAGCGGUGAAAUGCGUUGAUAUUGGAAGGAACGCCGGAGGCGAAAGCGGCGCACUGGAUUUCUUCUGACGCUGAGGCGCGAAAGCUAGGGGAGCAAACGGG
rnacentral:rRNA from 1 species